AUGAGCCCAGGGAUGGUGUUGAACUGCCUCCGCACUUCCUCCACCAUCUUGAGAGCCGCGCUUCCAACACUCUUCAUGGUCAUUGCAGAGAACCAGUACGGGAGCAUGGCACCAACAAGGAGGCCAAUGAAAACGUUUGGUGUCAGAACAUCAACAGUUGUGAUCCCGGCACGGCUCACAAAGGCACCGAAGAGAGCAAGGGACACCAGGGCAGCCGAGCCAAUUAUUGUAUACCUUUCCAAUGGCAGCAGUUGUGUUUCCUGCAGCAUCCAGAGCAUCAGUUCUCUCACGGAUUCUGUGGCUCAUGCCAGCCAUUUCAGCGAUGCCUCCAGCGUUGUCACUGAUAGGGCCAUAGGCAUCAAUGGCAAGACCGGUCGCAAUUGUGCUGAGCAUUCCAAGAGCAGCCACAGCCACACCAUACAUCGCGGCAAGGCUGAAGCUGAGGAAAAUACUGAAGGCAAUGGCGAAGAUAGGGAUAAUAACUGA
rnacentral:rRNA from 1 species